AUGGCCACACCCAUUCAUCCAGAUUCACAGUUGUUAAAUGUUUGAAGGUACGUGUGAGAAUUAAUUAUGUAAUGUCUGGCCAGUGCUUGCUAGCCAGCCACCACAUUAAAAAAAUAAAUACACUUACCUCAAAAAUAAACACCUAAUGGAAACAUUAGAGUGCCAUAAACAAAUAGACACAAUUACCCAACAAAACAAAAAUACCC